rnacentral:rRNA from 1 species
UACGAGGGGGGCAAGCGUUGUUCGGAAUUAUUGGGCGUAAAGGGCACGUAGGCGGAUUGCUAAGUCAGGGGUGAAAUCCUGGAGCUCAACUCCAGAACUGCCUUUGAUACUGGCGACCUUGAGUCCGGGAGAGGUGAGUGGAACUGCGAGUGUAGAGGUGAAAUUCGUAGAUAUUCGCAAGAACACCAGUGGCGAAGGCGGCUCACUGGCCCGGUACUGACGCUGAGGUGCGAAAGCGUGGGGAGCAAACAGG